rnacentral:rRNA from 1 species
UACAGAGGUCUCAAGCGUUGUUCGGAUUCAUUGGGCGUAAAGGGUGCGUAGGUGGCGCCAUAAGUCAGGUGUGAAAUCUCGGGGCUCAACCCCGAAACUGCACUUGAUACUGUGGUGCUGGAGUACUGGAGAGGAGAUUGGAAUUUACGGUGUAGCAGUGAAAUGCGUAGAUAUCGUAAGGAAGACCAGUGGCGAAGGCGAAUCUCUGGACAGUUACUGACACUGAGGCGCGAAGGCCAGGGGAGCAAACGGG